GUCCUUUCUAGAAGAGGUAAAGGAGAAUUCACUCUACCUGCCUUGGUAACUUUUUUGCAUGCUCCGACGGAAUCCCUGAAUGGGAGCAAAGGAGGAUGGUUGGACCAAAGCCACACCAAACAACUCCCCAAAGAAUAAGAAUUCAUCAUGUGAAAGGCAGGACUAGAUGAAUCCCAAGCUGGAAUUAAGAUUGCCGGAAGAAAUAUCAACAACCUCAGAUAUGCAGAUGACACAACCUUGAUGGCAGAAAGUGAGGAGGAAUUAAAGAACCUUUUAAUGAGGGUGAAAGAAGAGAGCGCAAAAUAUGGUCUGAAGCUCAACAUCAAAAAAACUAAGAUCAUGGCCACUGGUCCCAUCACCUCCUGGCAAAUAGAAGGGGAAGAAAUGGAGGCAGUGAGAGAUUUUACUUUCUUGGGCUCCUUGAUCACUGCAGAUGGUGACUGCAGUCACGAAAUUAAAAGACGCCUGCUUCUUGGGAGAAAAGCAAUGACAAACCUAGACAACAUCUUAAAAAGCAGAGACAUCACCUUGCUGACAAAGGUCCGUACAGUAUAGUUAAAGCUAUGGUUUUCCCAGUAGUGAUGUAUGGAAGUGAGAGCUGGACCAUAAAGAAGGCUGAUUGCCGAAGAAUUGAUGCUUUUGAAUUAUGGUGCUGGAGGAGACUCUUGAGAGUCCCAUGGACUGCAAGAAGAUCAAACCUAUCCAUUCUUAAGGAAAUCAGCCCUGAGUGCUCCCUGGAAGGACAGAUCGUGAAGCUGAGGCUCCAAUACUUUGGCCACCUCAUGAGAAGAGAAGAAUCCUUGGAAAAGACCCUGAUGUUGGGAAAGAUGGAGGGCACUAGGAGAAGGGGACGACAGAGGACAAGAUGGUUGGACAGUGUUCUCGAAGCUACGAACAUGAGUUUGACCAAACUGCGGGAGGCAGUGGAAGACAGGAGUGCCCGGCGUGCUAUGGUCCAUGGGGCCACGAAGAGUCGGACACGACUAAACGACUAAACAACAACAACAACAACAAGGACUAAAAUAUUUAGGGCACUAAACUUGCACCACACACCCAAACUCCUCCCUUUUCUCCACCAAAGUCCAAUGUAGGAAGCACACAGCCAUCUCCCACUGCAGCAUUUCUCGAUAUGGUUCUGAAAUGAGGAUUCUAAAACUGGUUAAGACACGCUUCUCAGAGUUCAGAAGAGUCUGCCCAAAGCUGCAAUAGUGAUCCACAUGCACUGAGCCGGUGUAAGGCAACAAUUAAGCAGGGUUGAGCAAUUCAAAACAGGGUAUGCAAUUGGACAUGCCACUCUCUUUGAACACCUCACCUCUAAACGUAUGUUUAAAAAGACAUUUACAGGUGAAACUUGAAAAAUUAGAAUAUCGUCUAAAAGUUCAUUUAUUUCAGUAAUUCAACUUAAAAGGUGAAACCAAUAUAGGACAUGCAAAGCGAGAUAUGUCAAGCCUUUAUUUGUUGUAAUUGUGACGAUUAUGGCAUACAGCUGAAGAAACCCCCCAAAUUCACAAUCUCAGAAUAUUAGAAUUUUAAUUGAAUCAAUAAAACAAGGAUUGCAAAUAGAACAAUAUUGGACCUCUGAAAAGUAGAAUUAUGCAUAUGUACUCAGUACUUGGUUUGGGCCCCUUUUGCAUGGCAUGCCCCUCAGUGCGGAAUGGCAUGGAUGCCAUCAGCCUGUGGCACUGCUGAGAUGUUAUGGAAAACCAGGAUGCUUCCAUAGCGGCCUUCAGCUCUUCUGCAUAGCUCGGUCUCAUGUCUCCCAUCUUUCUCUUGGCAAUGCCCCAUAGAUCAAGCACAGGAAUCCCAUGGGCACUGAACCAGGUUUUGGUACUUUUGGCAGUGUGGGCAGGUGCCAAGUCCUGCUGGAAAAUGAAGUCAGCAUCCCCAUAAAGCUUGUCUGCGGAAGGAAGCAUGAAGUGCUCCAAAAUCUCCUGGUAGACGCCUGCGUUGACCCUGGACUUAAUGAAGCACAGUGGACCAACACCAGCAGAUGACACGGCUCCCCAAAUCAACACAGACUGUGGGAACUUCACACUGGACUUCAAGCAUCUGGCAUUGUGUGCCUCUCCAUUCCUCCUCCAGACUCUGGGUCCUUGGUUUCCAAAUGAGAUGCAGAGGUUGCUCUCAUCAGAAAAGAGAACUUGGCACCACUGAGCAACAGACCAGUUCUUUUUUCCCUUUAGCCCAGGUAAGACGCUUCUGAUGUUUUUUUCUUGUUCAGGAGUGGCUUGACAAGAGGAAUACGACAUUUGAAGCCCAUCUCCAGGAUCCGUCUGUGUGUGGUAGCUCUUGAUGCACUAACUCCAGCCUCAGUCCACUCCUUGUGAAAGUCCCUUGAAUGGUCUUUUCCUGACAAUCCUCUGCAGGCUGCGGUCAUCCCUGCUACUUGUGCACCUUUUUCUUCCACACUUUCCCCUUCCACAUAACUUUCCAUUAAUGUGCUUUGAUACAGCACUUUGGGAACAUCCAACUACUUCUUCUUCUUCUUUUGUAAUCCAUUUUUAUUCAUUUUUCAUAUAAUAAAACAUAUAUCUACAUUUUCCAUAGUCCAAAAUACAUAUACAACAUUUUUAUAUAAUAAUUUCUCAUUACUAUUAUUUCUUGCUGAAUAUUAUCUUCCUGUAUCGUAAGCUCUUAAUGUAUCUCUAUAUUUACUAAAUAAAAUCAAAAAGAAAAAAGAAAAAGAGAAAAAAAGAGAAGGAAAAAAAGGACUUAUUGUCAAUUCCUUGUGCAGUAUUCUUCUGACCACGAGUGUACAUAAAUCAAUAUUCUUUUCAUAUUACUUGUCUGUUACACUCAAACACCAUUUUACAUCCUUUAUUCCCCCCCCCACCUUUUCUUUAUCAUUCAAAAGCUGGCAUAGUUGUCAGUAUGUUACAAUAUUUUUGAACGUACUUCUUAUAUCCUCCCCAUUUUUCAUUAAAUUGUUGUUUUGAUUUUCCUCAAAGGCUAUUUGUCAAUUGGGCCAUCUCUGUGUAUUCCUGUAAUUUAUUUGCCAAUCCAUGAUUUUUGGAACCUCCUGUUCUUUCCACUCUUUUGCCACAUGUGGAACAUAUCACCAUUAUUCCCUCCACAUCUCCAGCUUACAUUCGCCACCUGUUCAUACAUUUUCGAUAGUCUAGAGGGAGUUAAAUACCAUCAGGGUACCAUUUAAGCAUGUUCUCUCUAAUAUUAUAAUUUGCUGUAAAUUUCAACAUCACUUUCCACAGAUUUUCCCAGUCUAGCAUCAUGAUAGACUGUCCAGUGUCUUGAGCCCAUCUUAUCAUACCGUAGAGGCCUUUACUUCUUCAUACAUUACCUCAUAGUCUAAAAGAAGUCUAUACAUACUCGAUAUAAUUUUAGUUUUCUUAUUUAACAACUCUUUCUCCAGUUUUGAUGUCUCAUUAUUAAAUCCAAUUUGUUUGUCUUGUUUAUACUUUUCAAACAAUUGGUGGUAACCGAACCAUCCAGAAACAUGUUGUUUUACAUCUUCGUAUUUUUUAAGUUUCAAUUGACCAUUUUCUUCUAUUAAUAAAUCUUUAUAUGUUACCCAUUUCCUUGUCAUAUUUUUCUUUUUGACUGCAACUGCCUCUAAUGGUGAUACCCAUUUCGGAGUUUUUGGCUCUAGAUGGGAACAUCCAACUUCUUUUGCAAUUACCUUUUGAGGCUUUCCCUCCUUAUGGAGGGUCUCAAUGAUGGCUUUCUGCACAACUGUCAGGUCAGCAGCCUUUCCCAUGACUGUGAUUCCUACUGAAGGAGCCUGAGAGACCAUUUAAAGGCUCAGGAACCUUUUGCAGGUGUUAUGGAUUGAGUAAAAGGUAAAGGGACCCCUGACCAUUAGGUCCAGUCGUGACUGACUCUGGGGUUGCACGCUCAUCUUGCUUUAUUGGCCGAGGGAGCUGGCGUACAGCUUCCAGGUCAUGACUAAACCGCUUCUGGCGAACCAGAGCAGCACAUGGAAACGCCGUUUACCUUCCCGCUGUAGCGGUUCCUAUUUAUCUACUUGCAUUUCAACGUGCUUUCGAACUGCUAGGUUGGCAGGAGCUGGGACCAAGCAACGGGAGCUCACCCCGUCACAGGGAUUCGAACCGCCGACCUUCUGAUCAGCAAGCCCUAGGCUCAGUGGUUUAACAUUCUGAGAUUGUGAAUUUGGUAUUUUCUUCAGCUGUACGACAUAAUCAUCACAAUGACAACAAAUAAAGGCUUGACAUACGGUAUCUCGCUUUGCAUCCUAUAUUGGUUUCACCUUUUAAGUUGAAUUACUGAAAUAAAUGAACUUUUCGGCGAUAUUCUAAUUUUUCGAGUUUCACCUGUAAGAGCAUCUGUUGUGUGCGCCGGUUACCAACUCGGGUGAAAUUGAGCUCAAAUGGUGUUGAUGUGGUCUACUGCAGAACACUUUGAUUUGAAAUCACUUUAGAAAUAGUAAAUGUAUUGCUGAAACCAGCUGACAGAAGGGCUGGAGAGAGACAAGAAGAGGAGAGAGGAGGGUGCGCUGGACCCCCAAGCAUGUUUCCUAGAUGGAGUUAAGGGUAUGCCUGUGCCAGCCCAGAGCUUAAGAGCCUGGCAGAAUUAAUGAUUAGAAAGAGAACUGGACCACACAGGCCCAUGGUAUGCAUUUAGGUUCCAGGAGAUGUGGACCUCAGGGAAACAAAAAAAUUGAUGCAGAGCAGAGGCACUUUCAUCAACUGCUCUUCUCUCAAUUGCUAAACUCAACAUGAUAUGUGAUUUGCUUACGCAAGCACAGUUGUUCACACAGCUGCCCAUCACAAGCAGACGGGGGGGGGGGGAGGGUCCUGCCUCCCAAACCAAUCACAGCCCAUAUAGAAAGUGAUCUGGACGGUGUACCCACUCCUCCUCAGGGAGAACCUUUUGUGAAAGGUGGUCCACAAAGCCCACUCUUAAAACUCUAGCAAAACUGACAGGAGUGCUAACGGGCUGUUUGACCCUACCCUCCGAUCUGGAAACUCUCCCCCCUUGCUGAUGCAUGAGGAAACUUUGUAGUGACUUAUUUAGUAGCACUUUGCACCUGCUCAGUGUCAUCUUCGUUGACUCCGACGUCAUACGUUCCAGGGCUAAGUCUUGGCACUGACAACAGCUAUAAAGCCUUGCUUGAAUGUCGAUUGCAAA